GGGUAUAACUCAGUGGUACAGAACUUACCUGGCAUGCAUGAGGUCCGGGGUUCGAUCCUCAGUAACACA
rnacentral:tRNA from 1 species